UUGAACGCUGGCGGCAUGCCUUACACAUGCAAGUCGAACGGCAGCACGGGUGCUUGCACCUGGUGGCGAGUGGCGAACGGGUGAGUAAUACAUCGGAACAUGUCCUGUAGUGGGGGAUAGCCCGGCGAAAGCCGGAUUAAUACCGCAUACGAUCUACGGAUGAAAGCGGGGGACCUUCGGGCCUCGCGCUAUAGGGUUGGCCGAUGGCUGAUUAGCUAGUUGGUGGGGUAAAGGCCUACCAAGGCGACGAUCAGUAGCUGGUCUGAGAGGACGACCAGCCACACUGGGACUGAGACACGGCCCAGACUCCUACGGGAGGCAGCAGUGGGGAAUUUUGGACAAUGGGCGAAAGCCUGAUCCAGCAAUGCCGCGUGUGUGAAGAAGGCCUUCGGGUUGUAAAGCACUUUUGUCCGGAAAGAAAUCCUUGGCUCUAAUACAGUCGGGGGAUGACGGUACCGGAAGAAUAAGCACCGGCUAACUACGUGCCAGCAGCCGCGGUAAUACGUAGGGUGCGAGCGUUAAUCGGAAUUACUGGGCGUAAAGCGUGCGCAGGCGGUUUGCUAAGACCGAUGUGAAAUCCCCGGGCUCAACCUGGGAACUGCAUUGGUGACUGGCAGGCUAGAGUAUGGCAGAGGGGGGUAGAAUUCCACGUGUAGCAGUGAAAUGCGUAGAGAUGUGGAGGAAUACCGAUGGCGAAGGCAGCCCCCUGGGCCAAUACUGACGCUCAUGCACGAAAGCGUGGGGGAGCAAACAGGAUUAGAUACCCUGGUAGUCCACGCCCUAAACGAUGUCAACUAGUUGUUGGGGAUUCAUUUCCUUAGUAACGUAGCUAACGCGUGAAGUUGACCGCCUGGGGAGUACGGUCGCAAGAUUAAAACUCAAAGGAAUUGACGGGGACCCGCACAAGCGGUGGAUGAUGUGGAUUAAUUCGAUGCAACGCGAAAAACCUUACCUACCCUUGACAUGGUCGGAAUCCCGCUGAGAGGUGGGAGUGCUCGAAAGAGAACCGGCGCACAGGUGCUGCAUGGCUGUCGUCAGCUCGUGUCGUGAGAUGUUGGGUUAAGUCCCGCAACGAGCGCAACCCUUGUCCUUAGUUGCUACGCAAGAGCACUCUAAGGAGACUGCCGGUGACAAACCGGAGGAAGGUGGGGAUGACGUCAAGUCCUCAUGGCCCUUAUGGGUAGGGCUUCACGCGUCAUACAAUGGUCGGAACAGAGGGUUGCCAACCCGCGAGGGGGAGCUAAUCCCAGAAAACCGAUCGUAGUCCGGAUUGCACUCUGCAACUCGAGUGCAUGAAGCUGGAAUCGCUAGUAAUCGCGGAUCAGCAUGCCGCGGUGAAUACGUUCCCGGGUCUUGUACUCACCGCCC
rnacentral:rRNA from 1 species